UGCAGAUUUGCAGGAAAUGGGUUCUCUAAUUAAUAAUAAUAAUCACAUAUCAAGUAUUAUUAAUGAGAUGGGUCCGUACCGCGCAUUGAGGGGCCGUGUUAAUAGUGUAGGGUUUCAGCCAGAUGAACGCCUAAUACCAUACUUAGAGUUAGCCGGGUUCGGAUCAGCUGCAUCGGGGUCUAUCCGAGACAUGUGUGCCCCAGAAUUAUUGUGUAUCACAAAACGACGAAUCUGGUUUCCGACUGAAGACGCAUUAACGUUUCCAUCCUCAUUCACGCCUUCGUCGUCAAUAUCAUCCGGGACCUCGUCUGCGUCGGGAUCACUCUCACUAUCCACUUCGUAAUCAACAGGAUCACUACUAUAGUAUACAUCAUCACCAACCACAUCAGUCUCGACUGCAGCAUUAAGAUCAAUAUUUAUCCCAUGUAUAGGUGAUUGGCUAUCAACAUACGAUACCGGAACCACCAUACACGGCGCUUCAACACCAUCUUCUUCACCUAAUGGAGUGGGAUCUUCAGUUGCCUCCACACUGGCUAACUCAGCAAAUAACUGAAUCGGUGCAUUUUUGUUACUCUCAGUCCCACAAUAAAGAGCGACCAUUGUUUCCACGUCUUCAUCGUCUACAAGUUCCAUUUCGGUAAAUUUUAUUGGAUCUGUUGAAACUGGAAACUUGGAGAAAACUUUUGAUAUCCUUCUCCCACAACGUCUAUAAAUUUUUUCACUAAUUUUUUCCUUCA